AUACGGAGGGUGCAAGCGUUAUUCGGAAUCAUUGGGUUUAAAGGGUCCGCAGGCGGUCAAUUAAGUCAGAGGUGAAAGCCCAUCGCUCAACGAUGGAACUGCCUGUGAUACUGGUUGACUUGAGUUAUACGGAAGUAGAUAGAAUAAGUAGUGUAGCGGUGAAAUGCAUAGAUAUUACUUAGAAUACCGAUUGCGAAGGCAGUCUACUACGUAUAUACUGACGCUGAGGGACGAAAGCGUGGGGAGCGAACAGGAUUAGAAACCCUAGUAGUCCCC
rnacentral:rRNA from 1 species